UACGAAGGGGGCUAGCGUUGUUCGGAAUCAUCGUGGCGUAAAGCGCACGUAGGCGGAUCUUUAAGUCAGGGGUGAAAUCCCGAGGCUCAACCUCGGAACUGCCUUUGAUACUGGGGAUCUCGAGUCCGGGAGAGGUGAGUGGAACUGCGAGUGUAGAGGUGAAAUUCGUAGAUAUUCGCAAGAACACCAGUGGCGAAGGCGGCUCACUGGCCCGGUACUGACGCUGAGGUGCGAAAGCGUGGGGAGCAAACAGGG
rnacentral:rRNA from 1 species